UAACAAGAAACUUAGGUUAAACAUUAGACCAAGAGCCUUCANAGCCCUAAA
rnacentral:tRNA from 1 species